rnacentral:rRNA from 1 species
GUAGGGGGCGAGCGUUGUCCGGAUUUAUUGGGCGUAAAGAGCGUGUAGGCGGCUUGGUAGGUCUCGCGUCAAAACCUGCGGCUCAACCGCAGUUCGCGUGGGAAACCACCUAGCUAGAGUCCGGAAGAGGAGAACGGAAUUCCCAGUGUAGCGGUGAAAUGCGCAGAUAUUGGGAAGAACACCAGUGGCGAAGGCGGUUCUCUGGGACGGUACUGACGCUGAGACGCGAAAGCGUGGGGAGCGAACAGGAUUAGAUACCCUGGUAGUCCACGCCGUAAACGAUGGGCGCUAGGUGUGGGAGGUGUCGACUCCUUCCGUGCCGAAGCUAACGCAUUAAGCGCCCCGCCUGGGGAGUACGGCCGCAAGGCUA